CAGGACCUGACCUGGGUUUCACAGGCUUCCUCUGGCUGCUGUGUGGAAAAUAGAUCGUGUGAAAGUUUUUCGUCAUGUCCAGGCACCACCUCUUCCCGGUCAGGCCCACGUUACAUACGAGGACAAUGGAACAAGUCAAAGGCAAAGCAACACGUCCCCCUGUAAAAACUGUCAGUGUAACCGUCCACUUCCGUAUCUGUCCAGUCACUUAACAAACAUUGACGGACCACCUUUAAACACAGGCUGCUGUGCUGGUGUCUGGGACACAG
rnacentral:lncRNA from 10 species